rnacentral:rRNA from 1 species
GCAGCGCGGGAGCAAUCCUGGCGGCGAGUGGCGAACGGGUGAGUAAUAUAUCGGAACGUGCCCAGUAGUGGGGGAUAGCCCGGCGAAAGCCGGAUUAAUACCGCAUACGACCUGAGGGUGAAAGCGGGGGAUCGCAAGACCUCGCGCUACUGGAGCGGCCGAUAUCAGAUUAGCUAGUUGGUGGGGUAAAGGCCUACCAAGGCAACGAUCUGUAGUUGGUCUGAGAGGACGACCAGCCACACUGGGACUGAGACACGGCUCAGACUCCUACGGGAGGCAGCAGUGGGGAAUUUUGGACAAUGGGCGCAUGCCUGAUCCAGCAAUGCCGCGUGCAGGAAGAAGGCCUUCGGGUUGUAAACUGCUUUUGUCAGGGAAGAAAUCUUCUGGGCUAAUACCCCGGGAGGAUGACGGUACCUGGAGAAUAAGCACCGGCUAACUACGUGCCAGCAGCCGCGGUAAUACGUAGGGUGCGAGCGUUAAUCGGAAUUACUGGGCGUAAAGCGUGCGCAGGCGGCUUUGCAAGACAGAGGUGAAAUCCCCGGGCUCAACCUGGGAACUGCCUUUGUGACUGCAAGGCUAGAGUACGGCAGAGGGGGAUGGAAUUCCGCGUGUAGCAGUGAAAUGCGUAGAUAUGCGGAGGAACACCGAUGGCGAAGGCAAUCCCCUGGGCCUGUACUGACGCUCAUGCACGAAAGCGUGGGGAGCAAACAGGAUUA